rnacentral:lncRNA from 1 species
AUGACAGCAAUGGGAUUUUAUGUAUAUUUGCUCUGCACCAGGCCCUGUGUGCUAAGGGCUUUUACACUUGUCUUCUCAGCCUGUAGAAGAGGAGACUCAGGCUACGCAUUUGUUAAUUUAAAUUUAUUUGUAGAGACACAAAUGCAGGAGCCAGAAGAUAGAGCUAGGAAAAGUGGGUUGAAUGCCCCGGGAGCAGAAUCAGCCUCCACAAUGAAAGGGACGAUCAGAACUGCCUCAGGGGAUGAAACAGGCAACUUCAAUGGCUUGCCCGGUCCAGGCCCCUUGAGCCAGGCUUUGUUGGGGUGUAGAGGACCUGAAGUCCCUUCAGCCCCCUCUAGCAUCACCUACCUUGAGGUCCCUCCCUCAACACGGAAUUGUGAGAGCUACAACUCAAGAUGAAAUUGGGGUGAGGACACAGCCAAACCAUAUCAGGUGGUGAGCAAUUCAUGAGCCACUCAAGAACACUUCCGAACUCAUCAAAUGGCUCCGGUAUUCUUUGUAAACGUGAAUGGACUCUGGAUGCAGCAGAAAUGGGGUCUGUCUAGAGGUGGAGGCUUCUUCAGGAUGCACGGAUGUCUCAUUGGCCCAGUUGGCGCAGUCCCUGGAACCUCUGUGUGGAAGGCUGGCUACACUUGAUUCUUUAUUCCCGGUACUAUUGCUGGCUCCCCAGUGAACCCUACAACAACCAGGUUAGGAAAUUACAGGCUUUCCCACCACAGGAAAUGGGCGGAUCCUGCUAGAUCAGAGAGCAGGCACUUCUGUCUGGCCCUGGAGAGCUUUCCACAGGUAGUCAACUCUUCAGCUGGCAAAAGAGAAAUGGCUGCACGUACCCAGACCCAAAUCUGUUAGAUUUCCAACGUUAAGCAUAGAGUGUCCAUAUAUUUUUUUAAUCAGAAAAAAUUUUUAGAGUGCCAUUAUCUAAGGCCAAUUAAAGAAAUAGUGUGGAUUUUAAGUUUGAAUUCAAAGGUCAAGCAAUGAGAAUAGAUAUUGCCUGGCUGUUGGAGUUUAUAGAUAAUAUUUAUCAAUGUCUGUAUCUAAUUUUUAGUUGUCUAAUAUGGAGAAAAUUCUGAUGCCCACAGGUAUAUGAUCACAAUUUUUAAACAGUUAACCUUGCAAGAUAAGAACCUAAAAAGUAUAUGAAGUCAGUGAUUUCGGGAUAUUUUUUAAUGAUUCAGUAGUAGCAUAAGCUUUUCAGACAGGCACAAAAAUAAGUCAACCUGUCAACAUCAUUUUUCUUGAUCUCUGGUGUAAGAUAAAAUAUAUAAUUGUGCACAUUUUGAAAAAGUAAUAUAUUCCACAGUAUAUUCCGAAAUAUUACUUCAACAUGUAAUCAGUAUUAUAAAGAAUAGGAUAAUUGACUUUUUUCAUUUCAUACUAAAUUUUGAAACCUGGUACGUAUCUUACAUAGCAUUUCCCAGGUCCCACUAGCUGCACUGAGCACUCAGUAGCCACACAAGGCUACCAUUUGCCAGAGGCUUUAUGUACAUUAUUAUGGUUACUUCCUGCUGGAGUCUUUGGAGGUAAAUAUUGUCUACAUCUUACUGAGCUCCUAAAAAUUACAUAUCCUGCUGGAGGUUUUAGAGUUUAUCAAUGGAGGAGCCAGUAUUAGAACCUAGUCUGCUAAUCUUUAAGGGCUAAUUUUUCUGUACUUCAGUGCACAUUAGUUUGGUUAGUGUUUUCAAGGAGUUUUCGACACACUAAUUUUUUGAGUCAAAGGCUUGCUGACUCAGAUGUGGUUCCAUUGGAAUGUUACCUGGAAUGCAGGCUGGGGUGUGAUCCUGAUAAAUCCAUUAACUCAUUUCAUUCAUUCACUUUUCAUCAAGAAACCUGGAUUUUAGAAAAUAGAUUUUACACCCCCUCAUCUAUAAAGCUUGUGUUCCCUGCCUGUGAUAAAACAAAUGCAAGAGAGUCAAAAAUAGGUGGAGGACACAAUUUGCAAAUCUCAAGGGAGUGAAUGUGGUGGUGCCUGGAGCCUAGGAAGACCUCAUUCCCCCUCUGAAGACAGACAUGGUACAGUGUUUGCUUCAUUUCCUUGAUGCUGUGAGGAAGAGGGGUAUCAGCUGAGGUGUUUCAUGUCCCCACGAGAAGUCGCACGCCACACGCUGUAGGAUCCGUGCAGCCAAUUGGUUGCACUUCCCACAGCAGGCAGUGGGUGUUGUAGACAGGAUGCUGUGUCCUGUGCAGGGAAGGGGGUGGUGGCAACCUCUGAGUCACCUGAUGGGAGCGAGGUGAGUCCAUCCUGCCUGGAAAUGAAGUUGUCAGAGACUUCUCAGAGUUGUGGGGGAAAAUCCCACUCCACCAUUAUGUAUAGUUACUGGUGCCUGUCGCAUGACACGUAAAAGAAGGAAAGGAACACAGACUCGUGGUAGAAACUGAGAAAGGUGACAAUAACUCUUGGUGUCCUCAUGGCAUGCUCAUACGUAACCUAGUCAUUGACUAAGAGGAUGUUGAGUGUCCCAUUCUUCCUGCAUCACUCUGUACUGCAGGAAAAGCUCAGGAGAUCUCCUAAGAGUCCAGGCUCGAAGCUCCCUAUUGCUGAAGUGCAACCCCAUUGUCUUAGUUUAUACCUUUAAUGCUUCGAUGCCAGUCUAGAGAGCUAGAUGCAGGUGUUUCCGCCAAGUUGAUGGGGAAGCUGUCAUUGUAAAUUGAGAGUAACACAGGAUGAUGCUCAUCUUGGAAUCCACCAGAAGUAGUUAUUUAUCACCUAGGACUGAACCUGAAUCUUAGACAACAUUCUUCUUAAUUUCAGAUAAUCAAAUUUGGCUAUCGGAAUCCUUGUUUUUUUAACCUACAUAAAACUGAACAUGAAGGAUCUGCAUCAAAAUAAGUGUUUUAUGAUUGUAUGCACUAACUUGUUUACCUAUUCAACAAAUACGAAGUACCACACUGUGUACAAGCCACUGUGUUACAUGCUGAGGUUAUUGUAAAAAGUUAGAGGGUCUGAUUUGAGUACAGAUUCCAAAAGGAAGUUUGCUAUAAGCAAUUAAAAAGAUAUAGUGCAUAGAGAACCCCAAGGAAUACUUGAGAACAGUGCAGCCCAGGGUUCAGGCGAGAAAGACUAACUGCAAGGCUGCAUACCCUUUCCAGGAGUGAACCUUUAAGCUUUCUAGAUUCGUGGUUUCAAACC